rnacentral:misc_RNA from 1 species
GGCUGGAUCACCUCCUUUCUAGGGAGCCACGAAGCGCCCUCGAGGCGCUUCAGGCAACCAGGUCAGGGUCGAUCCGGACGGUCGUCCGGCCCUUCACGGGGCGGGGCGAUGCGUCGCAAAGGUCUGAAUCCCGGGUCUUCCCGGUCACUCGUUCAAUCGGGGGGCCUUUCGAUCGACUUCCCGUGUCGUCGCCGCACGCUAUUCGUUUUUUCGGGGAUCGACGCGCGUUUUCGCGUGCGAGCCCGCGAUUCGCUCGGGCGCCGCUCGCGCAUGCGCGACGGCUUCCUUGCUCGGGCCUGUAGCUCAGCCCGGUUAGAGCGUCCGCCUGAUAAGCGGGAGGUCGGUAGUUCAAGUCUACCCAGGCCCACCAGUUCCGCGGGGCUGUAGCCUCAGCUGGGAGAGCGCGGGCUUUGCAAGCCUGAGGUCGUCGGUUCGAUCCCGAUCAGCUCCACCAUUUCGUUCGCGAGCUCCUCUGGAGCUCCCCGGCCCGAGACAGGCCGGCGCGGCGAAGCGGUCUUUGACAAUCGAAUAGCUUUCCGGGUCCAAUGUGGACCGCGCUUUGGCAGUGACGGACCUGCCGUCCGUCGCUGUCUGCUCUGGGUCGAAUUUUGGUCAAGCUGUAAAGGGCAGGCGGUGGAUGCCUUGGCGCCAGGAGGCGAUGAAGGACGUGGUUAGCUGCGAUAAGCCACGGUUAGCUGCUAAGCAAGCUUUGAUCCGUGGAUUUCCGAAUGGGGAAACCCGGCCGGGGUCAUGCCCGGUCAUCCUGCACUGAAUUCAUAGGUGCUGGAAGCAAACCCGGGGAACUGAAACAUCUCAGUACCCGGAGGAAGAGAAAUCAACCGAGACUCCCCUAGUAGCGGCGAGCGAAAGGGGAAUAGCCCAAACCGGCGGGAAGAAAUUCCUUCCGGGGUUGUGGGACUCCGACGUGGGACUCGACGAGAUAGCGGAACGGUCUGGAAAGGCCGGCCAUAGAGGGUGAUGGCCCCGUACGCGAAAUCUCGAAGAGCCCUAGGAGCAUCCCGAGUACCACGGGGCACGUGCAACCCUGUGGGAAUCUGGGGGACCAUCCUCCAAGGCUAAGUACUACCUGGCGACCGAUAGUGAACCAGUACCGCGAGGGAAAGGCGAAAAGAACCCCGGUGAGGGGAGUGAAAUAGAUCCUGAAACCGCCUGCCUACAUUCAGUGGGAGCCCUAUGGCGUCGCAAGACGCAAUGGGUGACUGCGUACCUUUUGUUUAAUGGGUCCGCGAGUUACUCCUCAGCAGCAAGGUUAAGCCGAUAGGUGUAGCCGUAGCGAAAGCGAGUCUGAACAGGGCGAUGAGUUGCUGGGGGUAGACCCGAAACUGGGUGAGCUAGCCAUGGCCAGGGUGAAGCUCGGGUAAGACCGAGUGGAGGCCCGAACCGUAGUAGGUUGAAAACUACCCGGAUGAGCUGUGGCUAGGGGUGAAAGGCCAAUCAAACUCGGAGAUAGCUGGUUCUCCUCGAAAUAUAUUGAGGUAUAGCCUCGCGUGAUCACCGCCGGAGGUAGAGCACUGGAUGGGCUAGGGGUCCUACCAGAUUACCGAACCCAACCAAACUCCGAAUGCCGGCGAGUGCAACGCGGGAGUCAGACUGCGGGUGAUAAGAUUCGUAGUCGAGAGGGAAACAACCCAGACCGCCAGCUAAGGUCCCCAAGUCCGUGCUAAGUGGGAAAGGAAGUGGGAGCGCUCAAACAACCAGGAGGUUGGCUUAGAAGCAGCCAUCCUUUAAAAAGUGCGUAAUAGCUUACUGGUCUAGUGAGCCCGCGCCUAAAAUGUAACGGGGCUCAAGCACGGCACCGAAGCUGCGGGAUCGUGACACCUCCGGGUGUCGCGAUCGGUAGAGGAGCGUUCCAGUCGCCUGUGAAGCUCGACGGAAACGACGGGUGGAGGCCCUGGAAGUGCUUAUGCGGACAUGAGUAACGAUAAAGUCGGUGAGAAACCGACUCGCCGUAAGCCUAAGGGUUCCUGAGUAAAGUUUAAUCUGCUCAGGGUUAGUCGGCCCCUAAGCCGAGGGCGGAAGCCGUAGGCGAUGGGAAACGGGUCAAUAUUCCCGUACCACCAGGAAAACGUUCGACCGAAGGGGGGACGGAGAAGGGUAGCUCGGCCGGGUGCUGGAUAUCCCGGUUCAAGCCCGUAGGCGGGUGGCACAGGCAAAUCCGUGCCGCCAUUCAAACGCCGAGAGGUGAUGUCGAGAGCCGUAGGCUCGUAAAGCGAGUGAUCCCAUGCUUCCUAGAAAAGCCUCGUAGGGAGUUCUUCUGGUGACCGUACCGUAAACCGACUCAGGUAGGUGGGCAGAGUAUGCCAAGGCGCUUGAGAGAACCCAGGUCAAGGAACUCGGCAAAUUGACACCGUACCUUCGGUAGAAGGUGUGCCCUGGUCCGUGACGAGACUCGCUCUUAGAGCGGGCUGGGGUUGCAGAGAGCAGGGGGUAGCGACUGUUUACUAAAAACACAGGACUCUGCGAACUCGAUAAGAGGACGUAUAGGGUCUGACGCCUGCCCGGUGCUGGAAGGUUAAGGGAAUCCGUCAGCCUCUUCGGAGGCGAAGCGGUGAACCGAAGCCCCAGUAAACGGCGGCCGUAACUAUAACGGUCCUAAGGUAGCGAAAUUCCUUGUCGGGUAAGUUCCGACCUGCACGAAUGGCGUAACGACUUCCCCACUGUCUCGACCUGGGACUCAGUGAAAUUGAAUUGCCGGUGAAGAUGCCGGCGACCCGCGGCAGGACGGAAAGACCCCGUGCACCUUUACUACAACUUCGCAGUGAUCAUCGGUUCAACGUGUGUAGGAUAGGUGGGAGGCUUUGAAGCCGGGACGCUAGUCUCGGUGGAGCCAACCUUGAAAUACCACCCUCGCUGGAUUGCUGAUCUAACCUGCACCCGUCAUCCGGGUGGGGGACACUGCGUGGUGGGUAGUUUGACUGGGGCGGUCGCCUCCCAAAGAGUAACGGAGGCGCG